GAUGAACGCUGGCGGCGUGCCUAAUACAUGCAAGUCGAGCGAACAGACGAGGAGCUUGCUCCUCUGACGUUAGCGGCGGACGGGUGAGUAACACGUGGAUAACCUACCUAUAAGACUGGGAUAACUUCGGGAAACCGGAGCUAAUACCGGAUAAUAUAUUGAACCGCAUGGUUCAAUAGUGAAAGACGGUUUUGCUGUCACUUAUAGAUGGAUCCGCGCCGCAUUAGCUAGUUGGUAAGGUAACGGCUUACCAAGGCAACGAUGCGUAGCCGACCUGAGAGGGUGAUCGGCCACACUGGAACUGAGACGCGGUCCAGACUCCUACGGGAGGCAGCAGUAGGGAAUCUUCCGCAAUGGGCGAAAGCCUGACGGAGCAACGCCGCGCGAGUGAUGAAGGUCUUCGGAUCGUAAAACUCUGUUAUUAGGGAAGAACAAAUGUGUAAGUAACUAUGCACGUCUUGACGGUACCUAAUCAGAAAGCCACGGCUAACUACGUG
rnacentral:rRNA from 1 species